GGUUGUAGGGGGUGUAAUGUACCCUCUAGCCAUCUACGCGUACGGGUGUUGGGAGACAUCGCCCGGAGAUGGAUUCUGAGACACGAAUCCAGACCCUACGGGGUGCAGCAGGCGCGAAAACUUGGCAAUGCGAGAAAUCGUGACCAGGGAACUCCAAGUGCAUCGGGUAAGACCGAUGCUUUUCUUGACUCUUCAAAGGUCUUGGAAUAAGGGGUGGGUAAGGACGGUGCCAGCCGCCGCGGUAAUACCGGCGCCUCAAGUGGUAGUCGCUUUUAUUGGGCCUAAAACGUCCGUAGCCGGUUUGGUACAUUCGUGGGUAAAUCAAGGCGCUCAACGUCUUGAAUUCUGCGAGCACGGCCAGACUUGGGACCGGGUGAGGUGUGGGGUACUCUCAGGGUAGGGGUAAAAUCCUGUCAUCCUGAGAGGACCACCUGUUGCGAAGGCGCCACACUAGAACGGAUCCGACGGUCAGGGACGAAGCCUAGGGGCACGAACCGGAUUAGAUACCCGGGUAGUCCUAGGUGUAAACGCUGUGGACUUGAUGUUGGGAGUGCUCCGAGCACCCUCAGUGUCGAAGCGAAGGUGAUAAGUCCACUGCCUGGGGAGUACGGUCGCAAGGCUGAAACUUAAAGGAAUUGGCGGGGGAGCACUGCAACCUGAGGAUUGUGCGGUUUAAUUGGACUCAACGCCGGAA
rnacentral:rRNA from 1 species